CAAACCCAUUAACCCAAAAUCUCUCUCUCUCUCGUCAACGAGUUCUGCUGUUUUCACUUCAAGUCCUUUAAUUCACCCCAAAACCAAUCUCCCAAACUCCACUGUCGAUUCCAUUACUCGAUUUCAACUCGUCCUUCUCUCAAUUUUUCUUUCCCCAAUCCAUUUCGUUGUUUCUAUUGCUCUCCGUUUUCCUUAGGGUUUUAAUGAGUAAUUAGUGUAAUUUAUUUGGGGAAAAAAGUGAUUUUACCUUGCGUUAAUGGAGGUGCCGCCCCUCGCUCCGACUGCCGCGCGAAAUGGCGGAUUUGCGAUGCCGUCGUCUUCGUCCCAACCUUCUCGCAAGGAGUGGCGCGCUGUGUCCGAGCAAUCGCUUCGAAACUCCGCUAACGAGGAGUUGGAGCGUUCAAAACAAGUUCAUUCUGACGAGAGAUUGACAUACGAGUUACAGCAUGGGAGGGAGCCAGUGGAAGUGGAUUUUUGCUCGAUAACUAUUGAUGGGGAUUUGAACAACAAUAUUUUGCAGCAGAGAAUUCAUGAACUGGCAAAACAAAGGGAGGAAUUGCAGCUUAUGGAGAUUGAGCUUCGUGCACAGAACAUUGCGAGAUCAGAAAUUGCCAGAAUUCACAGUAACUUUGAUGCUCAAAUCACAGAGCAUGGAAAUGCUAAUGUUAAACUGCAGGAGCAAUUGCACGAAAAGGAAGAGAACAUACGUGAGCUGGAGAGAAAGAUUGAAGAGAAGGAUAGAGAGUUGCAUGCUAUUAGAUUGGACAAUGAAGCGGCUUGGGCUAAACAGGAUCUUUUGAGGGAACAAAGCAAAGAGCUUCAGAGCUACAGGAGGGAAAGGGACAGCUCAGAAGCUGAAAGGGUGCAGCAUAUUAGUCAAAUCCAUGAACUUCAGGAACAUAUUCAAGAGAAAGAUCGCCAGUUCAUGGAGUUGCAGGAACAGCAUAGGAUCGCUCAAGAAACCCUUAAUUUUAAAGAGGAGCAGUUACGAGAUGCUCAAGCCUGGAUGACUCGUGCACAUGAAUUGGAUGCUUUGAAUUCAAGUACUAACCACAAUUUACAAGCUGAGCUGCGAGAUCGUACAGAUCAUUAUAAUCAACUCUGGCUUGCUUGUCAAAGACAGUGUGGUGAGAUGGAAAGGCUUCAUUUGCACAUACAACAGCUCCAGCUUGAGUUGGUCGACGCUAGAGAGAAGACUGGAAGUAACAUGGAUGGUUCAAAUAUCUCCCAUAAAAGUCUGAUUGAAGCCUCUAAACUAGAACAGAGCAAUGACGGCCAGCAGGAUGUGAAUAUUAGAGGUUCACAGGGUACAAACAUUGGCAGCAUACAAAAUGGAAAUAUUGAAUGUGUUUCUGAUGGAAACACAUCAACACAGGCUGACAAUGUUCAAGUUGUUGCUUUUGCUCCUUCAUCCCUUCUUGGCAUGCCACCCUAUGCUCAACCAGGACAGGUGACUGCUUUGCAUCCAUUUGUAAUGCAUCAACAAGGUGUUCCUCACCCAUCACAUGUUAUGCAAUCUCAUUUUCACUCGGUAUCCACAAUGCCCUCCGAUCAAAAUUGGCAGCAGGGUCAACCGGAAGGCCAACAUGUUCCUAUCCCUAAUCAAUAUGAUCAGGAAACCGAACAAAAUUUGGUGAAAACUCACUCUAAUAUUGGCUACAAAGCUUCUGGGAAUGGUCAAAUUUUUCAUGUGACUAAUUUGGAAACAAAUAUCAGCCAAGGAUUAGAUGCUGAUUCAAUCCCAUCAACAAAUGAAGAUAGCAAGGUUCUCGACCCCACUGGAAAGAGUUAUGACAAGACACAAUCUCCAGAGAGCUUGCUGAAAGUUUCAUCGCAUUUUCGAAACGCACUUAGUUUAGAUCAUCUAGAACAUGAAAAUGACACUAAGCCACAGGAGAAACAAGUCAACCCUGUCCAUGAUCACGGAACCGAAAACAAGAGUGCAAUGGAAAAUCUCAAUCUUGCUGGCCUGGUGUUGUCCGAAAGAGAUGCUAGUGUUAAGAAUCUCAGUGAGGAGAUCACAAAUAACGGCUCGAGUACUGAUAAGGCUGGUGCAUCUGUAUCUGCGAGGCAGAAAAGUAUCACAGGAAACACUGCAGAAAGUUUUCUACUAGAUGAAAGAGUAUUAUUGGCUUCUAUAGUUCGCACAAUAGGCUCUGGUGGCAGAAUUAGGAUUAGUUCAACGCUUCCAAAUAGACUUGGGAAAAUGCUUGCCCCACUUCACUGGCAUGACUACAAAAGGAAGUAUGGAAAGCUUGAUGAUUUUAUAGCUGGUCAUCCAGAACUAUUUCUGAUUGAGGGCGACUACAUUCAGCUUCGUGAAGGCGCACAGGAAACCAUAGCAGCCUCAGCAGCUGUUGCCAGAGUUGCUGCGGCAGCCGCUGCAGCUCCAUUGUCAAACUCGUCAUUGUUGCCCUCUGUAGCAGUAACUCCCAUGGCUCAGUCCCACCGACUAAAGAAGGCCUCACCUCAUGACUCAUCGUAUGUAAAUGUUGAUAAGAGCAGCUUUAAUGAGCUUGGUGCUCCUAGACCCUUGAAUGCGAAUGAGCAUCCUUCUCAGUUCUCAGCUCCGCAGAGUCGCAACAUAAAUGGCGGUUCACUUCGUGUUCCUGGAGGAUCUCAUGGGAGGCCUGGAAUGAGUUCAGCUGGGAAACAACAAAGGGCAGUUGGGGCUGUGCCAAAUGUGAGAAGAUAAAAGUGUAAAGUCUCAUCAAUUGUCAGAGUAUGUCUUCACCAGUUCUUUCCUUCAAGGGUAUGCUAUGAGUCUCUUUUGCAGGAAAUGGCAGUAUUGCUAGAUUGUUGGCAUCAAGUGCUGUGAAAAGAAAUGGAAUGGACGACUGGCAAAAGGCUUUAAUCUAUCAAGUUAAACUGUCCAACUAUCUUUUUUGUCCUGUUCAAAUCGGUUCAGGAUGCUUGAUAUUAAAAGUAUCUAUACAUUUAUAUUUGGAGAGCUCAAAUUUUUUGUUUCUUCUUGUGUUGAGUGUGCAUUGAUGAAGAUGCAGCCUUCCAGCAUUUUGAUAUUUUGUUAAUGAAAAGGCAGUGCCAUGUUUUUGAAUUUA